rnacentral:rRNA from 1 species
UACGGAGGGUGCAAACGUUGCUCGGAAUCAUUGGGCGUAAAGCGCACGUAGGCGGCUCGUUAAGUCGGAUGUGAAAUGCCUCGGCUCAACCGAGGACGUGCAUUCGAAACUGGCGAGCUUGAGUAUGGAAGAGGGUCGCGGAAUUCCCGGUGUAGAGGUGAAAUGCGUAGAGAUCUGGAGGAACACCGAUGGCGAAGGCAGCCUUCUGGGCCAACACUGACGCUCAUGCACGAAAGCGUGGGGAGCAAACAGG